GGGUGAGUGGGAGCGGGUGGGUGGGGGAAUAGGAAGAGGGUAAGCGUGUGUCGGAGUUAUUGGGGGUGAAGGGGACGGAAGGGGGGUGUGAAGUCGGUGGUGGAAUGCCUCGGGUUAACGAAGGAGGUGCAGCCGAAACUGGGGAGCUGGAGUGCGAAAGAGGAUCGCGGAGUGGCCGGUGUAGAGGUGAAAUUCGUAGAUAUCGGGAGGGACACCAGAGGCGAAGGCGGCGAUCUGGGUCGAUACUGACGCUGAGGUGCGAAAGCGUGGGGAGCAAACAGUAUUAGAUACCCUGGUAUC
rnacentral:rRNA from 1 species